UGCCCAUUUAAUCAUACAAUCUUUGAUUAAUUCAGAUUCUGAAUCCAUUUCAACUAAAACCCCAUAAACCCUCUUAAUAUGAGUUGGUCUUUGAUCCCUUCGAAAUCCUCACGUUUUUAAGAAUACUAAAAUGUAUGCUUCACUAAAGCCACCUAAAGGUCUGAGUAUGAUCUUUUGUAUCAUUUCAUAAUAGGAAAUGUUAUUCCCAUGUCUUAGAGUUCAAAAGAGUGCAGUAUACCAAACCUUGCUUUAUUCUGGUUCCUUCUUUACUUAGUAACCCAUUUCCCUUUGAUUUUUCACAGUAGGCAGCUGAACAAGAAUGCUGGGAAGGAAACCUUCAGACUGGGGGUCUGGUGCCCCGGCUGAGAUUACUAUUGCAGGAAGCUAACUAAACAAUAGCUGUAGAAUAUUGUUCCUAUUUUCUUCUUGGUGUUCUUGGCUUGACUGGUAUUCCUCCCUGAAAUUCUUUAUAGAGGUAUCGCUCAUUUAAUCAUGCAGUAACUGCCAGAAAUCCAAUAGAUGCAGGCAUUGAAUUAGGCUACAUGAUUUACUUUAUAGGACAAUCCUUUCUUUGAAGAUAUCUUCUGUUCAUCCAGCUACCUAAUUCAAGUCUGGUUUAAACAUAAAUAAUAAAGUGUAAUUUGUGCAUGAAGAAAUUGCCAGUUCUUUAAAUUUCAUCACCAACACUUAGCAUCUCAAUGGAAGAUUUAAGCAGAGAGGGAAUAUUAUAGUGUGAUGUACCAUAUUUUUGCUUAUAUUGUAAUUAUAUCUACUUUUAAACAAUCAUGCCUUUUAAUCUAUUGUUUUAGUUAUCAAUUUGCUCUAUUAUGGGUGGUUAAUUGGUAGCCAUCUAAAGUAGCAUGAACCUCUGGAGUUGUGGGCAAGGGUUUGUUCUUUAAUGUAUGAAGACCGAAAGUCCCAGUUGUAGAAAGACUAACUUGCAAUUUUAAUCUGAAUAGCUUUGUUCAGAUGUUCUUUUGGGACAUGAACCAGUGGAGGUAGUGUGCAUCUCUGAAGUCUGAUCUCCUGCAACUCUAACAAAAAGUUAAGCUUCUAGAACUUGGUCAACCAAACAAAUAUAUAAAAUAAAAUGAAAUUCAAGUGACUUCUGACAUUUUAGCCUUGGAUAAUGCAAAUCAGCGUAGAUAAGGCCUAUGUUCAUAUGGCUUUGAGUUUACAAACCCUGGCCUGCAAGAGGCAAUAGUAGACCUGAAAAGUCAUAUGGAGACUUCUUCAAGUUGAGCUGAACUCCUGUUGAUUUAAUGGAAAUAUUCAUGAAGCUUUAUUGGUAUGCUAUAGAAGUGGUUUACUAGUACUCUCUUUCAGGAUGAUUUUCCAGUUUGCCUGUCUAAAACGAUAGCAUUGGUUUUCUGAAGUGUUCUUCCAUUUAAGAAAUAAUCAACUCUACUCAGCAUUUUAGAUUGUCCCAAAUCAGCCAGACGAUUAAUUUGAGAUAGUCUAGGAGAGAAGAAAGUGCUCUUUUUGGUUACUGACUACAGUUUUGACAAUAUGUUAUAGAACAACAAUAGAAAAGCAAGGAAACUUUGCUAUUGAUAAAAUAGCUGCCCUGGUGAGUCACAAAACACCUUUUAAUUAGAAAGCAAAUUAGUGAGAUUGCUCCCUGCUAUUCCACAUUAACUCCCCAGGAUAGUGUCUACAUUUUUUUUCUGGGCAGGUGUGCGUAUCUCUUGUGGCUGACUCUCCCGUUUUUAUUUUCUAAGAAUGUAUGUUGUCCCAUGUGAAGCCUUGAGACAUUCUUAAAUAAAUAUGGUAUUUUGUUUUGCAGCAUAUUUCCUUCCUUUUAUAUUUUUAACUUAAAAGCAUCAAAGGAAAUAAGUGAAGUCAUGUUGCCUCAAGGGAGGUAUCCACUGGCUCAUUAGGGGCAGUGGGCACCACAUUGCCUGUCUCUAAUAGACAGCCCCAGAGAAUGUUUCUCUUUACGGUUUAGGCUAAGCAAGCAAAGGUUAUAUUGAUCAUUUUUCUGAAGGAUAAUUUUUUAUUUAUUUAUCAAACUUCUAUGCCACCCAUUUUGCCAAAUGUUUAGCAACAAAGACUUGGGCUCUACUAACAUUCAUUUCUUUUUCCUUCUUUUGCUUUCCCCCCCUCCCCCUCUCUCUCUUCCUCCCUCCCUCCUUCCCUCUCUCAGCAGCUGGAGGAAACUCCCUCUGCCCUGUGGCUAUUUAUGGUAAAAGUAAUGGGAAAAAAUAGGAAACAGAUAGGAAGCUGUUCCAGAAAAGUGAGUUGGGAGAGAAGAUGUCUGAAUUUAGCAGAGCCAAAGAGCUAGCAUGGGCUACAGCUGAUCCUGUUUAUAAUCAAUAUUAAUUCUUGUCAGAUAUUGGAUCAACUGGCAUAUAGUAUUUCUAAGAAAAUGCACAGGAUUUUAUAAAUUAUAUGAAUGAACAAUUUAACUUGACCACUGCAAGGCUAAAAGCACAUAUUUGGCAAUAAAUCCACAGAUGAACUGUGGGUUAAUUCUGAGUAAAGAUAACUGAGCUUAGAGGACAAUUGAGGCUAUAUGUCAAUGAAUGAGAAUGUGGAUCAAAAAAAUGAGAGGCCAGGUUUGUAUAUUCUCUUCUCAUUCUUUUUCUUUUCAGUGUUUCAUGCAUCUAAUAUCAGGGUAUAAAAACUCCACAAACUAAUACUUGUAAGCUUAAUUUCAGGUGCUAUAUAAGGUAAGUAUUGUCUAAUUUCCCAGCAAAUCAUAAAAAGGAAAACCAUCUUGGAAAAUCCAUAAUGUUCAUCAUACAGAUUUUAUUUUUACUUAUUUAUUAGAUUUAUUUGCUAUCCAUCUUGCCUGGGGUAGCUUAAAACAUUAAAAGCUAUAAAACUAUAAACCAUAAAUAUUUCUAAAACAAUAAAAUAGAAUUACAAUCAAAAGUAAAAUUGCAGUUAAAAAAUGGGGGGAGGGAGCAGGAUGUACAAGGGUGAGGUGGGGUUUUCUCUUAAUCCAUCAACCACCUCCAGCAUGAUACUCCCCUGUUGGGGCCCUAAGCCAGCUGGCAAAGCCAGGUCUUCAGAUUCUUAUGGCGAUCAGGAAGGUUCGGAGCAGAUGUCACCUGGUGGAGGGGGGAGUUGUUCCAAAGGGCAGGAGCAGCCUCUUCUCCUGGACCCCACCAGCCAGAAUUCUUUGACAGAUGGGGCUCAUAGCAUGCCAGCAUGGAUGGAGCGGCUACUCCUAUUCGGUGAGACUGUAACCUCCAGUAACCUGGACCCAUGCCCUGUAGGGCUUUAAAGGAAAUAAACAACACCUUGAAUUGUAUCUGGAAGCAAACUGGCAGUCAGUGGAACUCACAAAACAAUGGUGUAACAUGACCAUUUUAGGGGCCCCAAGAACUGCCCACACCACUGCACGGUGCACCAGUUUCAACUUCCGAAUGCUCUUCAAGGGCAGCCUCAUGCGGAGUACAUUACAGCAGUCCAAACAUGAGAUGACUAGGGCUUGAGUGCCUGACUGCAGGGAUGUCUGAUCCAGGAAAGGGUUCAACUGGCGCAUAACACAGCUCUCCUAUCUGCCACCUGCUCUUUGAGCAGAUUUUAUUAAUUUUCCACAAUUUACAUACUUUUCUAAACAAUUUGUGUAACAAGUUUAGUACUCUUUUAAUGCAUUUACUAGCAUAUCAUUUUCCUACACCAAUUAAUGAUUUAUUCCCUACUUGAACUCUUUUAUUUAUUUCUUUUAAACACAGAUAUUUUGCCAAUAUUUCUAUUUGUCAGUCUUACGGUUUAAAGCUUGGCCACAAUUAUUUUCAUCAUGAAUAACAUUGAUCCACUCAGCAUUCAUAAGGCAAUCUGUUCUUCCUCAUUUUCCAAUAGGAGAAAAUAAAGAAAUGUUUUAUAUCACACUGCAUCCCUAACAUGAUUUUAUUCAGCUUAUGUGCAGUUGUUUAAUAAAGAUUUUUGUUUCAAUAAAGAAGAGUUGUUUUCAGGAAGAGAUGCAAGACUGCCAUUUUCUGUGAUUCAUUUAUAAAAAAUCAAGGAUAGAAUAAACUUCUUUGAAGAGAUGGGAAAGGUUGAGAGCAGAAUCUGGAAGAUGAGACAGGUAAAUUCCCACCUAGGAAAAUGGCUCACCUAAAAGCUUUGCAGAGCUUCACCUCUAUAAAUAUAAGGAUUGUCCUUUGAGCAAAUCAAGGAAUACCAUAGCUGAUCCCACAAUAAAUUGGCUUUAACAACUGAUUGAGGGUUACUCUCUCACAUCCACAAUGCUUGUUUCUGUUAUCCAGCAGUUUUGUGUCCUUGCACAAAUGUCUCACUAUUGCUCCUGGAGAUGAGGAAGAUGAAGUACCUUGGGAGGAUCCAGGUACAGAACAAACUCAACAUCAUGGCAGCCCUUGUAUCUGAACAAGACUAUGGAUCAUAGGUUAAUGGCCCAUAGGAAUGGAAUUACUUUUGGAGCCUUUGAGGAAAUGUCUUUAAUCUUAACACACAUUUUUUCUUGUAAUUUUUGUGAUGAUUUUUACAUUACUUCUCCAUCUUUCCAGUAUUUUAAAGAACUUUUCAGUCAAGAAGUAUACCAUCCAUAAUACAGCUUUAUAUUAGGAUGGUGUCAUUUAAAUAAACUAAAAUGCACACAAAUAAAUGUAGACACUUUUUCUAAAGUUGAGUUUCAGAUUUGGAUCUCAUUUGAAUCAUUUACUUUUGGACAGAGAAUCUGAUUAUUAACUCUUAGCUACAUUCCAAGAAGUUGGCGUACAGGAAAUGAACAAGCAUCUGUGGAAACAUGUUCUUCUCCUUUAGAACCAUGUACAUCCUGACAGAGAACAAAGUUGCCACUGAAAAAGAAACUCUGAUUUACUCGCACUUAAGAUCAUAAGAAGCAUACUUUACCAUUAUUUCAAGCCCAACUUUGUUAAAGUGGGUGUUCCAACACUUUGUCCAUGAGCAUUUGCAAAUAAUUAAUUAUAAAUAAUUUUUGUAAUAGUUUAUUUAAAAAUACUUUAGGCUUAAAAUCUUCCAGAACAUAUACCAAUAUUGACAUUAAUUCAGAUGUUUUAAUGAUAAUGCAUCUGGACAAAAUCAUGAAUUCAGAUCUUUUAAUGGAAUAUAUUACCAUUUUGAGCAAUGCAUAUUCCCCUUGUAAUAAAUUAGAAUGAUUUAUAAGCUGAUCUAAAGUAUUAAUGUCCCUGCUUGCCCAUGACUACCAAAUAAGGCUUAUGCCCUGAGGCUUUCUAAUUGUGGCCAUAGUAGUUUUUUUUUACUUGAUUGCUUAUAUGCCAUAAAACAUUUAGCCAUAAUAUAUGUCCAGUAAAUAAAGCUGAAAAUCAAGAAAGUUAUAACGAUAAACUUAAUUUAGGUAAUCUAGGAUGGGAUUGUCCAACCUUGGCAACUUCAGCUAUGGAUUUCAACUCCAGAAUUCUUGGAGGAUUCCAUGGCUGGCUGGGAAACUCUUGAGAGUUGAAGUCCACAAGUCUUAAAGUUGCCAAGUUGGUCAUCCCUGAUCUAGCAGUUUGUCCUUUUCCUCAACCUUGAAAUUAUAUUAUGUUUUGCAACAUUGAUCUUUCCCUAUGUAGGUAGGUAUAAUUUUUAUACUUGCAUUUAUAUUGAUUUUGAUCUGAGAUAAGGAUUUUUAUUUAUAUAUUAACAAAUUUCCUUGAAAUAAUUAUUUCUGAUACAAGAAUCCCAGCAAAGAGUAACAUCCUAAUUUUUUUUCACAUUUUCAUGGAAAUAUUAGAAUUUAUAAAAGAUAUAUUAAACUUGCUGUAAUUUAAUUGGGUAGACUCAUAAACUGUUGAAUAAUAUCAAACACAAAUAUAUUAUCAGAAUACCAUAGACGUUUAUUCUCGCUCCUAGCCUCUGUUAUUCCUAAAAUGUCCUGUUUGUCUGAUAAGACAGGCUGAGAUUUCUAACAUUAAAUUAAAUGUAAUAGGAGAUAAAGGAUAUUCUUGGCUAUCUCCAUAGAUAUUCUUGACUUCCACAGAGUAUCUUGAAUAAAAUAAUGCAGAUUCAUGAAUAAGCAAGUGCAUAAUUUGUAGGCAGAAAAGAUCCCAUGCCUGUUCUAUGAAUAGGUGUGCUUUUGUUUAUUUUUAUGCCCUCAAGUCAUUGUUGAUUCAUAGCAACUGCUUGAGGGCUUUCCUGGCAAAAUUUUGGAAGUGGUUUACCUUUGUUUCCUAGGGCUGAAAGAGUGACUGCCCAAGGUCACUCAGCUGGCUUUGUGCCUAAGGUGGGACUAAAACUCACAGUCUCCUGAUUUCUUGCCUGAUACCUUAAUCACUACACCAAACUGGAUCUCUCUAUGGAUAGUACACUGCCCCAAAGGUCCUUAUGGCCCUAAGCCUGUUGUCCUUGUGGGAAGAGUUUAAGAUGUGGCUGUUCUAGCAGUCCCUGAGUUAGUUUUCUGACUGUUCCCACAAAGUACCAGCUGUGGUAUAAUAAUAUAUCUGAUUUGUUCUUCCUAGCAUGUUUGUUUUGCUUUUUUAUAGUUUUAACUGUCUGCAAGCCUUUCAGUGACUAAUGAAUGGGCAGUCUUAAAAGUGGAUUGACUGGCAAUUUUGAAAAGGAUUUCUGCCUGAAUCAAUGGCCUGACUUAGUUUAAAGUAAACUCCUGUGGUUCCCAUUCACAGCUCUGUUUUAUAAGAACUUCUAUAGGCAUGGCUUGGAGUUUCUCUGCAACUUCCAUUUUCUAUUAUUCUGAACACAUAUAUUCUUAUGGCUACAUCUCUAAUACCAGACUGCAAACAGCAAACAAAAGAGCUUAAUUUAGAAAAUACCUUUCUCAGAAAAGGAGCCUAUAUUUGGCACUUGUUACAAAAUGUCAUUAGGAAAUUAUUUAAAUACAACAUAAGACAAUAUUCAUUUUGCAGCCACAGUAAAAUGGGUGGGUGAGCUAAAGUGUUUCCUUCUCUGCUCAAGUGUAUUGAGGUUCAAGACAAUGGUUCCAGUAGCUGCUUGAAAUUCUCAGUCUAUUUCAUCAUUUUUCCUGCUUCUCAAAGUCUUCCUUUUUGUUCUCGUAGGGCUGGCUGUAAUAGAAGUAGAGGGAAGUAGCUGCCAUAUAUGGGAGGUACAAAUGAGAAUCAGAUUCACUUUUUUAACUUCUGCUCUCUGAAGCUAGAUUCCAAAAGAUGCUUCCAUCCUGCUGCCUUGAGCAGGUUGGUUUGCAUCCCUAAUUACUUUUCACAAUACAUCACAGGUAGUCUUGCUGGGAAAGGUCUCUCUGCGAAAAGAAGAGUGAAGGCCAAAGAAAAGAGUGAAAAGGGCAGCUGUCCAGGAUUAUGCUGUGUAUAUGUGACACAUGCUUAUGCAGCCAUUAUCUAUGGUUUGAUAUAUUGAAACAGAGAAUAAGCACAAGCCAGGGGCACAAUGAGUCAGUGGCAGCAAACUGCUGCCAUUAACCCUAACUGAAUUUGCUGCCCUGGACUAGUGUUGAAUUCAGAAAAUAUUAUUGUCCUGUAUUUGUGAAAGCACCACUAUGUUCCUCCAUCACAUACAUACAAUCUUGGACCAGCCUUUAAUAUCUCUGAAAUAAUCUAUUUAUUUUAUAAGGGGGUCUCCAGAGUGCUUCUGCAUUUAUUUACAAAAGGCACCAGCAAUGUAUAUGUAGAUGGUUUGCCAUUAUAUGCAGGAACAUAUAAACUGCCCAGAUGAUUUUGGGGACCCAAAGUUCUGAUAUUGGUAUGUUUGUCAUUGAAUAUGUAUCUCCCAGUCUCAUGUGAGGAGUAAGAAGGGUACUAACAUCUACCACACUCUCUCUCUAAGGCAGUUGUGCCACAUACGGCAAGGUAAAAAUACUAUAGAGUCAAGUUCCAUAUCCUUAUAACUUCAUAUUUGUGUCAAUUUUGUGACAUGGGUAGUUAUAUAAAUUUGAUAAAUAAAUAAUUGGCAACAGAAUGAACUAAAUGGAAAUUACAACAAUUGGAGUGAUCAUAUCCAGUGAGAGCAUUUUUCUAGGAAAAAGAAAAAACAAGACAAAAGUAAGAAAUGGAACAAAGAGUAGAGGAACAUGGCAACUAGCUAAGGGUGAGAGAUAAUGUAUGGAAUAGGGAUGACAUUUACUCUGUACCCAUAUUUCUUUUCAUAGCCAGAUCUCUUCACUUACUUAUCUACAAAUAGGAUGGAUGGAUCAAUGAAUACUAUAGUAUCUGUUUUUGCCCUCUAACAUCCAAAUCCUCCCUACAUACACAUACACCCAUGGCAUGUUAUGCUUUGUUCCCCAUAUCAUAUAAUUAACCUUAGCUAUGGAAGUUUUGCACAGCAAUGUUAGAGGUAACAUGGACUGAUGGCUCCCUCCUCCAUGGAUUCUGUCCACUAAAUUCUUUUUUAAACCAUGUGGGACAUUGCAUGUUGUGCUUUCUCUGUCUGAACUAACUAAAUGAGAAGAAAGCCUCACAUACUGCAACAUUCAUUCCAUGUCAGUGAACUAAUGCAAUCCAUUGAGGAAAUUAAUUUGUCUUCCCUUCAUUCCCUGCACAAAAGUCUAACACAUAUAAAGGACAACUUUAUUUGAUUUUAUCUUUGUGACAAUGUUUUGAAUUAAGUCAAAUGAGACAGUGAGACUAAAUGGCAAAAGAUGACCAAAUGAGCUUCAAGCACUGUAGAGGCAAGAAUCUUACUCUCUAUUAACUAGUUGAAUGUUGGCACCUUCACCAACCAAAUCGUAUAUUGAUUCUUUUCUUUUUAUUCUAUUUUAAAAAUACCCAAACAUGCUGUUUUGAACACCCCAUCUCCUUAACUUCAGCACAUUUUGAGCUUUUUUUCUUGAUGCCAUUACUACAGCUAUAAGGUACCUUCAGAACCAUACUUUAGAAUUUCCUUGAUGAUCUGAAAAUGUACAAAAUAUUUAUUUGUAAAAUAUUAUAUAAGUUAGUAGUUGUGUAAAAAUACAAUUCUCAAUAACUCUUAUAUCUACCUUGCUGUUAUGCCAAUGUUGGUAUCCCAAUGUUGCAAAAUAAGAGAGUAGAAUUAAGGAACAAAAACAGUGGUGACCUUUAAGCCCCCUAUUAAAUUUGUCAGUGGUGAUUCUUUGGAACAAAGUCUUCCUAGCUCAUAAUACUUGUUCCUCUGCAUUUCUAGAAUGCACUAAAAGAGAAUCAGUUUGUUUGCUGCUGUAGCUAGAAAGUGUGUGAGAGAAGAAGGCAAGAAAAGGCAAAGUUAAGAAAAAUAGAGACAAAUAUAAAAGAAAAGAAAGAAAUAAUAGCUGGCAAGA